GGUCACUUCUGGGGAGGGUCACUGCUGGGGAGAAGCUUCUCGGAGCCCCUGGCAAAGGUGAGCAGCGAGGACCAUGAAUGUGAAACCAACCUUGGUCCUUCUGUCUUCCUGGGAUGUGGGGGUGGGGGCUGCUGUGGUGGGACUGAGCCCACCCUAACUCGAGCUGUCAUUUCCCUUCAUGCUGCUGUCCUAGGAAAUGCUGAAUCAAAAUAGAAGGUGGGAGAAAGUAGGAGAAUACAUUCCAAGGGGCAAAUGGAAAUAGAAGAAAGGUAACAUUGGCCUGCAAUGCUGCGUAUGAUUCAGAGGUGCAGGUCCUCCCUUCUUCAGAUGCCUGCACCCUCUCCGUGCCUAUCCAUAACCAUCAUCCUCAUGAACUCUGGGCGUCUGAAAUAGGCUUAGCCUAUCAAAAUCACAGAUGACUGGGCCUGGCACUUGAUAUGAUGAGAAAAGUCUGAGGAAAUGAAGAUGUGAGCAGAGACUUGAGCUUCCACAUAGUAGCAUCUCAUCUAAUCUCACAACAACACCGUUGUGAGAUUACUAUUAAUACUAUUAUUCUCACCCACCAAGAGAAGAAAGAGACUCUGAGAGAUUAGCCAUGCAGGGUCCCCAGGUAAUAAAAUGCUAGAACCAAUGUUCAAGUGCAUGUGGAA